UACGUAGGGUGCGAGCGUUAAUCGGAAUUACUGGGCGUAAAGCGUGCGCAGGCGGUUCGUUGUGUCGGCGGGGAAAGACCCGGGCUUAACCUGGGAAUGGCCGUUGAAACUGGCGAACUGGAGUGUGGCAGAGGGGGGUGGAAUUCCGCGUGUAGCAGUGAAAUGCGUAGAGAUGCGGAGGAACACCGAUGGCGAAGGCAGCCCCCUGGGCUAACACUGACGCUCAGGCACGAAAGCGUGGGGAGCAAACAGG
rnacentral:rRNA from 1 species